rnacentral:tRNA from 1 species
GCGACGGCCGGUUCCGUUGCAGGUGAGCCCUCUCACAGAUCGACCGAUCGGCGGGUCAGCGAUCUUCCAAGCUGGUCGUGCGGGUUCGAUUCCCGUCGCCCGCUCCA